UAAACACUGAUAGCCAUGGCCAAGCGCCCAAGCGCGUUCCCGGAGCCAGGCAACUUAUAUCCCUGCCUGCCGGUUGCCUGCCUGACCAAGGCCCGCCCGAACGCGAGGCCGGCCGGCCACCAUGGCUGCUCCCCGGAGAGGCAAGAACACGAUCGAAAGGGCAGCAGCAUGGCUAGCCCUCUCCCUCCUCCUGCUCCUCCUCCUCGUGCUGCUGGCCACUCCAGCUCACUCGCGGCAGCAACAUCAGGGGCGCACCCCCACGGUCUCCGGCCAGAAAGGAAUUGUUGAUCGUCGCCUGCCUGAUGCUUGGACCGAUCUGAUGAUCCGUGAUGCUGGCUUUGAAUUACGGGCGUGGCGGAAGGACGUGGUAGUCAGGCCGGACAGGACGACCGAUCUGCAGCUGGCGCCGCCGGCGCCCAAGGCCAACAGCAACGUCCCCG